CACAAUCCGCAGCCCCUGGGUCUGUGCAGUGACCAGCCAGUUCCCUGAGAACUUUCCCCUCCAGCACCCGGGACAAUGAGAUUUUUCCUCCUUGUUAUUUUCGCUGUAGCCGCUUUGGAAGGUGUCCGGUCCCAGGAGUUGGUGGAGUCCGGAGGGGAUGUGAAAAAGCCCGGAGACUCUCUCCGCCUCUCCUGCAAAGCCUCCGGGUUCACCUUCAGCGGCGCCUACAUGAGCUGGGUCCGACAGGCUCCUGGCAAGGGGCUAGAGUGGGUCGCUUAUAUAAGCACGGGUGGGAGUCCUAUAUACUAUCUUGAUUCAGUGAAAGGCCGAUUCACCAUCUCCCGGGAUGAUCCCAAGAGUGAGCUGUAUCUGCAAAUGACCGGCCUGAAGCCCGAGGACACCGCCCGCUAUUACUGUGCCCCUGGGACGGGACCGGAGUGGAUCGGGGAAAUACACCCAACUUCACCUACCAUCAACUACGCCCAGCCCUUCAAGGGAGGCUUCGCCACCUCCAGGGACAACCCCAAAAACCUGCUGUAUCUGCAACUGACCGGCCUGAAGCCCGAGGACACCACCCGGUAUCACCGUGCUAGACACACAGUGAGCAGAUUAAAGCUAUUAAACACGGAAUAA